CACCGCGGUUAUACGGGAAGGCCCAAGUUGACGAAGCCCGGCGUAAAGCGUGGUUAAGAAUCCAAUAAACUAGAGCCGAAGACUAUCAAAGCUGUAAUACGCCCUGUCGAAAGCAUGAAGAACAUUUACGAAAGUAGCUUUAACCAUCUGAGCCCACGAAAGCUAAGACA
rnacentral:rRNA from 1 species